rnacentral:rRNA from 1 species
UACAGGGGGGGCAAGCGUUGUUCGGAAUUACUGGGCGUAAAGGGCUCGUAGGCGGCCAACUAAGUCACACGUGAAAUCCCCAGCUUAACCUGGGAACUGCGUGUGAUACUGGAUGGCUUGAAUUCGGGAGAGGGAUGCAGAAUUCCAGGUGUAGCGGUGAAAUGCGUAGAUAUCUGGAGGAACACCGGUGGCGAAGGCGGC